GAAAGUAAGCAAGGGCAGACGGUGGAUGCCUUGGCUCUCGGAGGCGACGAAGGACGUGAUAAGCUGCGAAAAGCCCGGGGGAGGCGCAAAUAGCCGUUGAUCCCGGGAUAUCCGAAUGGGGCAACCCGGCAGGCUGAAGGCCUGUCAUCCCGAAAGGGAGGCGAACGUGGGGAACUGAAACAUCUAAGUACCCAUAGGAGGAGAAAAUAAACAAUGAUUCCGUAAGUAGUGGCGAGCGAACACGGAAGAGCCCAAACCCAUGUCGUCUAGGCGACACGGGGGUUGUAGGACCACGACGUGGCAAGAAGGAAGGGAAAUGGAACGACUUGGAAAAGUCGGCCAUAGACGGUGAAAGCCCGGUACAUGACUCCCUUACGAAGCCUAGUGGUAUCCUGAGUAGCGCGGGGCACGAGAAAUCUUGCGUGAAGCAGCGGGGCCCAUCCCGUAAGGCUAAAUACUCCCGAGAGACCGAUAGCGAACCAGUACCGUGAGGGAAAGGUGAAAAGAACCCCGAGCAGGGGAGUGAAAUAGACCCUGAACCCGUCUGCCUACAAGCGGUCGGAGCGUCGUAAUGACGUGACGGCGUGCCUUUUGCAUAAUGAACCUACGAGUUACCUUCCCCGGCAAGGUUAAGUUCUUGAGGAACGGAGCCGAAGCGAAAGCGAGUCUGAACAGGGCGCCAAGUCGGGGGGGGUAGACGCGAAACCGAGUGAUCUACCCUUGGCCAGGUUGAAGGUUGGGUAACACCAACUGGAGGACCGGAUGGGUAAGCGUUGAAAAGCUUUCCAAUGAGCUGAGGGUAGGGGUGAAAGGCUAAUCAAACUCGGAGAUAGCUCGUACUCCCCGAAAUGCAUUUAGGUGCAGCCUCUUUAUAGUAUAUCGUGAGGUAGAGCGACUGAUUGGAUGCGAGGGCUUCACCGCCUAUCAAGUCCAGAUAAACUCCGAAUGCGCGAUAUAUAUUUACAGGGAGUGAGGGCGCGGGUGCUAAGGUCCGUGUCCGAGAGGAGAAGAAUCCAGACCACCGGCUAAGGCCCCCAAAUGAUCGUUAAGUUGAACUAACGAGGUCGGAUCGCAGAGACAGCUAGGAUGUUGGCUUGGAAGCAGCCAUUCAUUUAAAGAGUGCGUAACAGCUCACUAGUCGAGCGAUCUGGCGUGGAUAAUAAUCGGGCAUAAACGAUCUGCCGAAGCCGUGGAUGUCGCAAGACAUGGUAGGGGAGCAUUCCAUGCCGCGUCGAAGAUGAGGGAUGACCCUUGUUGGAGCGCAUGGAAAAGCAAAUGUAGGUAUGAGUAACGAUAAGGGGGGCGAGAAACCCCCCCGCCGAAAGACCAAGGUUUCCUGAUCAACGCUAAUCGGAUCAGGGUGAGUCGGGACCUAAGGCAAAGCCGAACGGCGCCGCCGAUGGAAGAAUGGGUUAAUAUUCCCAUACUGCCUCAUGGAGUGACGUGGAGACGGAGAAGUGACAGUCCUGCCGGCUGACGGAAUAGCCGGUUGAAGGGUGUAGAUAUUGAUUCCCGUAGGCAAAUCCGCGGGGAGAGUCGAACCUGAGAGUAUACGGAGCGCUUGCGCAACGUAAUAUGGACGUAACCAUGCUCCCGAGAAAAUCCGCUAAACUUAUCCAUGCGGCACCCGUACCGUAAACGGACACACGUGGUCGGGUUGAGAAUACUGAGGCGCUCGAGUGAUUCACGGUUAAGGAACUAGGCAAAUUGACCCUGUAACUUCGGGAUAAAGGGUCCUCGUCGUAAGGCGAGGCGCAGAGAAUAGGUCCAGGCAACUGUUUAACAAAAACACAUGGCUGUGCUAAAUGGAAACAUGAUGUAUACAGCCUGACACCUGCCCGGUGCCGGAAGGUUAAGAGGAGAUGUCAUCCGCGAGGAGAAGCGUUGAAUUGAAGCCCCGGUAAACGGCGGCCGUAACUAUAACGGUCCUAAGGUAGCGAAAUUCCUUGUCGGGUAAGUUCCGACCUGCACGAAUGG
rnacentral:rRNA from 1 species